rnacentral:lncRNA from 1 species
UUAUAUUUGUCGUUUUCUUCAUCCAAUCGCUUUCCGUUAUGGGGCCCACACAAGGUUGCGUCGUCGUACGAAUAUUCCCCGACAGUAAGAAUAUUCCACGACCAAACGAAUAUUCUCCGAUAAAAAUAAAUAUUUUAUAACCACUUGCUUAUUUAAAAUAUUUGCGCAUUUUACCCAUAACUAACCACAUUAAUCAAAU